UCAUGUAACUCCUAUAGUGUUAAUGCAAUGGAUCCCAUUAGAAGUCUAUAGUUGAGUGCACUUGGGCUAGAGUAGUAUCAAGAUAGGUGACCUCUCGGGAAGUCCUAGUCUUUUACAUGGC
rfam:Picea glauca, whole genome shotgun sequence.